rnacentral:ncRNA from 1 species
UAUCUUCGGGGCAAGGUGAAAUUCCUGACCGGCAGUGAAAGUCUGCGAACUGCAUGAUGCAGCCGAGACGGUGCGAUUCCGUUACCGACAGUACAGUCUGGAUGAGAGAGGAUA